CAGCAGAGGGGCUACCAUCCCACGUCUGGAGAAAUCUCACUCACCCACUCACUGCUCUGGAGGCUGAGACGGUCAGUCUGGAUGAACCGCCUUGAAUGUUGAGCCAUCUGCAGUCAGGAUCACGACCUUCUGUAGGCUGGCCCAGAAAUCUUUGUAGCUGAGGAUGACUCCACACUUACGAUCCUCCUUCAUCCACCUUCCAAACUGAGUCCUGAUAUGUUGCCCAGGAUGCCUUUCAACUGGAGAUUCUCCUACCUCUACCACCCGGUGCCGGGAUUACAGGAAUGUGGUUCCCGGUCCCGGGCACAGCUGGCAGGACACGGCUCUCCUUCAUACUGCUGUGAGAGCAUUGGAUCAAGACGAGACACGAAGCAGUGGAUGAAGGAUGUCUGUCUGCUGCAGCUCUGAGCCUUGAUCACUCGGCGGAGCUGAGGGAGGCGGGACUGGGACGGUACUGCCAGGUGUUUCACAGUUUUCAACAGGGAGGCUGUCACUCAGGCCGGCGUAGCUACGGAACACAUUAGAGAAGAAGGGCAGAAGCCAGCCUCCCGAUGACACCCAGCCCAGGACAGCUGCGCCAUCACCUUUCCAUCACCUGUCUCAGUCAGCCCCGGCCCUGUUAGCUGUUCUUUAUUGUCCUGGCUGGCAUGAUGCCCCCGGAGCCUUCACACACUGCAUUUCCAGUGAGGAAACAAGAAAAGGCAUCAGGUCACCGGCAAUUUCUUUUUUCCAGUGGUGAAGGCCAAACCCCAGGACCUGCGCAGGUUGUGCUGGUGCUCUGUCCCUUAGCUCCAGCCUCAACUCAGACACUAGGAAUUUUAGCCAUUGACACUGUGAAUUCCUUUUCCUGGGUCACUAUCCGGCACCAAGAGGGGAUUCUAUGGUCCCCAGUCACAGAUCUGGUGGUUGGUUCCGGUUAAUUUAACAAACAUUCGUGAGUACUGUGCUAAGUGCUGCCAAACCAUCUGUCAGAUGUUAACAGUCACAGACAUCUCCCCCAAACCCUACGGUGUUUAGAAAAUGUGGUACAUA